rnacentral:lncRNA from 1 species
AAAAAGGACGUUUAGUAAUUCUAAAAGGGACUACAAGAUGAAAAACAAUAGUUUUGCCAGUUAAAGUUUGAGAUUCGAUGGUGCCGUAGAUCCGUUUGGUCAUCAGGUGUUACGAGCCACACCCAUGUCUAGCUAGAAUAGUGUGUCAGGCUCAGGCUAGAGAAGAAACAGGGUACAAACUGAUGAAAGAAUUAUCAUACCGAGGGAAUUCACUCAGAACUAACAAGAAUGAUAACGUGCUCCGACUGGAGCGGUUUAGGAACUGCUGGAAACCUCUAGGGGAAUAAAGAUGGAAUGACUUCUAAUUUUUAGGUCCGUAUGGUUUGAAAUACUUGCACACAAACCGCCCGAAAGCAUUCCUAGAAAUCUCGGCCCAAAAAAUGACGUUUAGUAAUUCUAAAUGGGAAUACAAGAUGAAAAACAAUAGUUUUGGCAGUUAAAGUUUGAGAUUCGAUGGUGUCGUAGAUCCAUUUGGUCAUCAGGUGUUACGAGCCACACCCAUGUCUAGCUAGAAUAGUGUGUCAGGCUCAGGCUAGAGAAGAAACGGGGAACAAACUGAUGAAAGAAUUAUCAUAACGAGGGAAUUCACUCAGAACUAACAAGAAUGAUAACGUGCUCCGACUGGAGCGGUUUAGGAACUUCUGGAAGCCUCUAGGGGAAUAAAGAUGGAAUGACUUCUAAUUUUUAGGUCCGUACGAUUUGAAAUACUUGCACACAAACCCCAAGAAAGCGUUUCUGGAAAUCUCGGCCCAAAAAAGGACGUUUAGUAAUUCUAAAAGGGACUACAGGAUGAAAAACAAUAGUUUUGCCAGUUAAAGUUUGAGAUUCGAUGGUGCCGUAGAUCCGUUUGGUCAUCAGGUGUUACGAGCCACACCCAUGUCUAGCUAGAAUAGUGUGUCAGGCUCAGGCUAGAGAAGAAACAGGGUACAAACUGAUGAAAGAAUUAUCAUACCGAGGGAAUUCACUCAGAACUAACAAGAAUGAUAACGUGCUCCGACUGGAGCAGUUUAGGAACGGCUUGAAGGCUCUAGGGGAAUAAAGAUGGAAUGACUUCUAAUUUUUAGGUCCGUAUGAUUUGAAAUACUUGCACACAAACCCCGAGAAAGCGUUCCUGGAAAUCUCGGCCCAAAAAGGACGUUUAGUAAUUCUAAAAGGGACUACAAGAUGAAAAACAAUAGUUUUGGCAGUUAAAGUUUGAGAAUCGAUGGUGCCGUAGAUCCGUUUGGUCAUCAGGUGUUACGAGCACACCCAUGUCUAGCUUGAAUAGUGUGUCAGGCUCAGUCUAGAGAAGAAACGGGGAACAAACUGAUGAAAGAAUUAUCAUACCGAGGGAAUUCACUCAGAAUUAACAAGAAUGAUAACGUGCUCCGACUUGAGCGGUUUAGGAACAGCUGGAAGGCUCUAGGGGAAUAAAGAUGGAAUGACUUCUAAUUUUUAGGUCCGUAUGAUCUGAAAUACUUGCACAAAAACCUCGAGAAAGCGUUCCUGGAAAUCUUGGCCCAAAAAAGGACGUUUAGUAAUUCUAAAAGGGACUACAAGAUGAAAAAUAAUAGUUUUGCCAGUUAAAGUUUGAGAUUCGAUGGUGUCGUAGAUCCGUUUGGUCAUCAGGUGUUACGAGCCACACCCAUGUCUAGCUAGAAUAGUGUGUCAGGCUCAGGCUGGAGAAGAAACAGGGUACAAACUGAUGAAAGAAUUAUCAUACUGAGGGAAUUCACUCAGAACUAACAAGAAUGAUAACGUGCUCCGACUGGAGCGGUUUAGGAACUGCUGGAAAGGUCUAGGGGAAUAAAGAUGGAAUGACUUCUAAUUUUUAGGUCCGUAUGGUUUGAAAUACUUGCACACAAACCGCACGAAAGCAUUCCUAGAAAUCUCGGCCCAAAAAAUGACGUUUAGUAAUUCUAAAUGGGACUAUAGGAUGAAAAACAAUAGUUUUGGCAGUUAAAGUUUGAGAUUCGAUGGUGCCGUAGAUCCGUUUGGUCAUCAGGUGUUACGAGCCACACCCAUGUCUAGCUAGAAUAGUGUGUCAGGCUCAGGCUAGAGAAGAAACGGGGAACAAACUGAUGAAAGAAUUAUCAUAACGAGGGAAUUCACUCAGAACUAACAAGAAUGAUAACGUGCUCCGACUGGAGCGGUUUAGGAACUGCUGGAAGGCUCUAGGGGAAUAAAGAUGGAAUGACUUCUAAUUUUUAGGUCCGUAUGAUUUGAAAUACUUGCACACAAACCCCGAGAAAGCGUUCCUGGAAAUCUCGGCCCAAGAAAGGACGUUUAGUAAUUCUAAAAGGGACUACAGGAUGAAAAACAAUAGUUUUGGCAGUUAAAGUUUGAGAUUCGAUGGUGCCGUAGAUCCGUUUGGUCAUCAGGUGUUACGAGCCACACCCAUGUCUAGCUUGAAUAGUGUGUCAGGCUCAGGAUAUAGAAGAAACAGGGAACAAACUGAUGAAAGAAUUAUCAUACCGAGGGAAUUCACUC